rnacentral:rRNA from 1 species
GAUGAACGCUGGCGGCGUGCCUAAUACAUGCAAGUCGAGCGAACAGACGAGGAGCUUGCUCCUCUGACGUUAGCGGCGGACGGGUGAGUAACACGUGGAUAACCUACCUAUAAGACUGGGAUAACUUCGGGAAACCGGAGCUAAUACCGGAUAAUAUAUUGAACCGCAUGGUUCAAUAGUGAAAGACGGUUUUGCUGUCACUUAUAGAUGGAUCCGCGCCGCAUUAGCUAGUUGGUAAGGUAACGGCUUACCAAGGCAACGAUGCGUAGCCGACCUGAGAGGGUGAUCGGCCACACUGGAAGUGGGACACGGUCCAGACUCCUACGAGAGGCAGCAGUAGGGAAUCUUCCGCAAUGGGCGAAAGCCUGACGGAGCAACGCCGCGUGAGUGAUGAAGGUCUUCGGAUCGUAAAACUCUGUUAUUAGGGAAGAACAAAUGUGUAAGUAACUAUGCACGUCUUGACGGUACCUAAUCAGAAAGCCACGGCUAACUACGUG